CUGGGGCUCACAAGGGUAAGGUCUCUGGCAGCUGCCAGGGGAAGGAGCUCUUGCAGGAAAGAACUACUCAGAGAUGUUUGGUUGCCUGAUCUGCUGCUUAGAAGACUUGCAACCUAGGGGGAAAAAACAACCUCCAAAAUGUUCAUAACAGAAAGUGACACGGGGAACAUUCCAAUCUGAAUUGAAAGGUGUGCAUAGCAGUAAAGAAACCUCAAAGGCCUAGACAGAGCUCUUGGCAGAGAAUUAUUUGAGUUGGACCCGCCCUGCAAAGUGUGAAUUCAGGAAUAGAUACAACUCUGAGGACAUUUAGCAGCUUCAGGGAAGAAAUUUCUCAUUUGGAUUCAUCUCUGCUAGUUAAACAUUACAGACAUCUGGCUGAACCUGAAGCAGUUUUGUUGUGCUGUUCUGCUGGUAGAGUCACUGCCGCAACUACAUCUGCUGCUGCUACUGGCUUGCCUACAGUCUCUGAGGGAAGGGUGACAAAGGGCAGAUGAACAUUGUUGCUUUUGAGUAGGAAUGCAGAUCCUUAUUAGAAGAGCUGUGUGUUUGGUGCUGCUGCGACUGCUUCCAGCCAUGAGAUUUACCAAUCUGUCUACAUCCUUUGUGAAGUUUGGGACCUAAAACUGGAUACAGUGCUCCAGUGUCUCCUUCCCUAUCUUUGCAGUCAGCUGUACUUCUCAUCUGGUAGAUGCACCUGUUUUUGAAGACUGAAGUAAAAAGGGCAUGAAAUGCUUCAAUGUUCUCUGCAUCACCUGUAACUAUGAUCAUAAUAGUCAAUAUAAUAAAAUGAUAUAUUAUCAAUUAUUACAUGUUGCUAUAUUGUAUUAAUAAUAAUGCAGUAUAACACAUAUAACAUAACACAUAGUUAUAACGUGUUAUUGUAAUAUAAUAUAAAACAAUUAUAAUAAACUUGUUCUUACUUUU